rnacentral:misc_RNA from 1 species
GAAGGAAUCUCCAGCUGCUGCUCAUGUGAUCACUGUCCAAAAAAGAGCCCCAAGAUGCUGCCUAUGAGAAUAACGGCUGUUAAAUAAUGGUCAAUAAUUGCCGUAAACAAACCAAUUUUUAAAAUUCCAUUAUCUGAAAGCUAUUAUUGAAACAGUAGGCCAUUUUUCCUGUAAAUUACGUAACGGCCACUAUUUAAAACAUGGCACCAACUCAAGACCUUGUUUUGAAUCUGCCUUGAAAAGACCCUUUCUGGUUUCAAAAGUUGAUUCACCUUGUUAUUGAAUCUGAUGCCAACUUAUUCCUAGAAGAAGAAGAUUUUAUUACUUUUCAUUCUGUUGCGAUUGCUGUUUCAUUGUGUUAGUCUUUUCUUUUAUAUACUUGUGCUGAUUAGAAGUUAAUUGUAUGACUGAGC